GACGAACGCUGGCGGCGUGCUUAACACAUGCAAGUCGAACGGUAAGGCUCCAGCUUGCUGGGGUACACGAGUGGCGAACGGGUGAGUAACACGUGGGUGACCUGCCCUGCACUUCGGGAUAAGCCUGGGAAACUGGGUCUAAUACCGGAUAGGACCGCACCGUGAGGGUGUGGUGGAAAGUUUUUUCGGUGUGGGAUGGGCCCGCGGCCUAUCAGCUUGUUGGUGGGGUAAUGGCCUACCAAGGCGGCGACGGGUAGCCGGCCUGAGAGGGUGGACGGCCACAUUGGGACUGAGACACGGCCCAGACUCCUACGGGAGGCAGCAGUGGGGAAUAUUGCACAAUGGGCGGAAGCCUGAUGCAGCGACGCCGCGUGGGGGAUGACGGCCUUCGGGUUGUAAACUCCUUUCACCGUCGACGAAGGGUUUCUGACGGUAGAUGGAGAAGAAGCACCGGCUAACUACGUGCCAGCAGCCGCGGUAAUACGUAGGGCGCGAGCGUUGUCCGGAAUUACUGGGCGUAAAGAGCUCGUAGGUGGUUUGUCGCGUCGUCUGUGAAAUUCCGGGGCUUAACUCCGGGCGUGCAGGCGAUACGGGCAUAACUUGAGUACUGUAGGGGAGACUGGAAUUCCUGGUGUAGCGGUGAAAUGCGCAGAUAUCAGGAGGAACACCGGUGGCGAAGGCGGGUCUCUGGGCAGUAACUGACGCUGAGGAGCGAAAGCAUGGGGAGCGAACAGGAUUAGAUACCCUGGUAGUCCAUGCCGUAAACGGUGGGCGCUAGGUGUGGGUUUCCUUCCACGGGAUCCGUGCCGUAGCUAACGCAUUAAGCGCCCCGCCUGGGGAGUACGGCCGCAAGGCUAAAACUCAAAGGAAUUGCCGGGGGCCCGCACAAGCGGCGGAGCAUGUGGAUUAAUUCGAUGCAACGCGAAGAACCUUACCUGGGCUUGACAUAUACAGGAUCGCGCCAGAGAUGGUGUUUCCCUUGUGGCUUGUAUACAGGUGGUGCAUGGUUGUCGUCAGCUCGUGUCGUGAGAUGUUGGGUUAAGUCCCGCAACGAGCGCAACCCUCGUCUUAUGUUGCCAGCACGUUGUGGUGGGGACUCGUAAGAAACUGCCGGGGUUAACUCGGAGGAAGGUGGGGAUGACGUCAAAUCAUCAUGCCCCUUAUGUCCAGGGCUUCACACAUGCUACAAUGGUCGGUACAGUGGGUUGCCAGUCCGUGAGGGCGAGCUAAUCCCGCAAAGCCGGUCUCAGUUCGGAUCGGGGUCUGCAACUCGACCCCGUGAAGUCGGAGUCGCUAGUAAUCGCAGAUCAGCAACGCUGCGGUGAAUACGUUCCCGGGCCU
rnacentral:rRNA from 1 species